CCUACGGGAGGCAGCAGUGAGGAAUAUUGGUCAAUGGACGAGAGUCUGAACCAGCCAAGUAGCGUGAAGGAUGACUGCCCUAUGGGUUGUAAACUUCUUUUAUAUGGGAAUAAAAUGUGCCACGUGUGGGAUUUUGUAUGUACCAUAUGAAUAAGGAUCGGCUAACUCCGUGCCAGCAGCCGCGGUAAUACGGAGGAUCCGAGCGUUAUCCGGAUUUAUUGGGUUUAAAGGGAGCGCAGGUGGAUUGUUAAGUCAGUUGUGAAAGUUUGCGGCUCAAACGUAAAAUUGCAGUUGAAACUGGCAGUCUUGAGUACAGUAGAGGUGGGCGGAAUUCGUGGUGUAGCGGUGAAAUGCUUAGAUAUCACGAAGAACUCCGAUUGCGAAGGCAGUUCACUGUACUGCAACUGACACUGAGGCUCGAAAGUGUGGGUAUCAAACAGGAUUAGAUACCCCAGUAGUC
rnacentral:rRNA from 1 species